rfam:Salmo salar isolate Sally breed double haploid chromosome ssa13, whole genome shotgun sequence.
UGGCUCAGUGGUAGAGCAUGGUGUGCGCAACGCCAGGGUGGUGGGUUCGAUUCCCAC